GCUUUGGUAGUUUAGGUAAAAAAUUCUGGUUUGUGGUGCCAGGGAGAUGAGUUUCAUUCAAGGCC
rnacentral:tRNA from 1 species